rnacentral:rRNA from 1 species
UGGAGGCAGCAGUGGGGAAUUUUGCGCAAUGGGGGAAACCCUUACGCAGCAACGCCGCGUGGAGGAUGAAGUCCCUUGGGACGUAAACUCCUUUCGAUCGGGAAGAUUAUGACGGUACCGGAAGAAGAAGCCCCGGCUAACUCCGUGCCAGCAGCCGCGGUAAUACGAGGGGGGCAAGCGUUGUUCGGAAUUAUUGGGCGUAAAGGGCGCGUAGGCGGUGUCGCAAGUCGGUAGUGAAAUCUCCAGGCUCAACUUGGAGUCUGCUGCCGAAACUGCGGUGCUGGAGUGUGGGAUAGGUGAGUGGGAUUCCCGGUGUAGCGGUGAAAUGCGUAGAUAUCGGGAGGAACACCUGUGGCGAAAGCGGCUCACUGGACCACAACUGACGCUGAGGCGCGAAAGCUAGGGGAGCAAACAGGAUUAGAUACCCCCGUAGUCCC